rnacentral:lncRNA from 15 species
CUGUUUUAUAACUAUUGUGACAGAGUCAGUCAGAUAUACUCCAGUAAAGCUCCACCUCUUCCUGUACGCAGACAGACACUGAGGACAGCACAUGUGAGACAUCAGAGCAGACAGCAUACAGACGGACAGAGAGACGCUCUACCUGGACAUGGAUCACCUGUUGGUGCUGUUGCUGUUGCUGUGGAGCUCAGCACUGCAGACUGAAGGAACACCCAACUCAACAGGUAAAUAGAGAAAGAAAAGAGAAGUAAAGAAUCGUCUUUGUGUGCUGUGCAGGAACACUGGAGGUGAGACAUAAAGCAGACAGGAGACCAGUGAUUGGCUCAGACUGGAACCUUAAGGGAG